AAAGGGAUUAGUUAAUUUAUAAUUUGAGUUUGUCAAAUUCAAGUUGCCUUGUAAGGCAUUCCUUUA
rnacentral:tRNA from 1 species